GUGCCAGCAGCCGCGGUAACACGUAGGGGGCAAGCGUUGUCCGGAUUUAUUGGGCGUAAAGAGCUCGUAGGCGGCUCAGUAAGUCAGGUGUGAAACCUCCAGGCUCAACCUGGAGACGCCACCUGAUACUGCUGUGGCUAGAGUCCGGUAGGGGAGCGUGGAAUUCCUGGUGUAGCGGUGAAAUGCGCAGAUAUCAGGAGGAACACCAGCGGCGAAGGCGGCGCUCUGGGCCGGAACUGACGCUGAGGAGCGAAAGCGUGGGUAGCAAACAGGAUUAGAUACCCUGGUAGUCC
rnacentral:rRNA from 1 species